rnacentral:rRNA from 1 species
GAACGCUAGNGAACGCUGGCGGUAUGCCUAACACAUGCAAGUUGAACGGAAGCUUAUGUUUUAGUAGCGGACGGGUGAGUAAAACGUGAGAAUCUACCUUUAGGAGGGGAAUAACAAUUGGAAACGAUUGCUAAUGCCCCAUGUGCUUUUCAGUGAAAGGAGUAAUCCGCCUGAAGAUGAGCUCACGCCUGAUUAGCUAGUUGGUAAGGUAAAGGCUUACCAAGGCAACGAUCAGUAGCUGGUUUGAGAGGAUGAUCAGCCACACUGGGACUGAGAUACGGCCCAGACUUCUACGGAAGGCAGCAGUGGGGAAUUUUCCGCAAUGGGCGAAAGCCUGACGGAGCAAUACCGCGUGAGGGAAGAAUGCCUGUGGGUUGUAAACCUCUUUUUUUAGGGAAGAAAAUUUGACGGUACCUAAAGAAUAAGCAUCGGCUAACUCCGUGCCAGCAGCCGCGGUAAU